rnacentral:rRNA from 1 species
CCUACGGGAGGCUGCAGUGGGGAAUAUUGGACAAUGGGCGAAAGCCUGAUCCAGCCAUGCCGCGUGUGUGAAGAAGGCCUUCGGGUUGUAAAGCAGUUUCAGUGGGGAAGAAAGCCUUGGGGCUAAUACCCUCGAGGAAGGACAUCACCCACAGAAGAAGCACCGGCUAACUCCGUGCCAGCAGCCGCGGUAAUACGGAGGGUGCGAGCGUUAAUCGGAAUUACUGGGCGUAAAGCGCGCGUAGGCGGUCUGAUAAGCCGGUUGUGAAAGCCCCGGGCUCAACCUGGGAACGGCAUCCGGAACUGUCAGGCUAGAGUGCAGGAGAGGAAGGUAGAAUUCCCGGUGUAGCGGUGAAAUGCGUAGAGAUCGGGAGGAAUACCAGUGGCGAAGGCGGCCUUCUGGACUGACACUGACGCUGAGGUGCGAAAGCGUGGGUAGCAAACAGGAUUAGAUACCCCAGUAGUC